rnacentral:rRNA from 1 species
UACGAAGGGGGCUAGCGUUGUUCGGAAUUACUGGGCGUAAAGCGUGCGCAGGCGGUGAUGUAAGACAGAUGUGAAAUCCCCGGGCUCAACCUGAGAACUGCAUUUGUGACUGCAUCGCUGGAGUGCGGCAGAGGGGGAUGGAAUUCCGCGUGUAGCAGUGAAAUGCGUAGAUAUGCGGAGGAACACCGAUGGCGAAGGCAAUCCCCUGGGCCUGCACUGACGCUCAUGCACGAAAGCGUGGGGAGCAAACAGG